rnacentral:rRNA from 1 species
GAUGAACGCUAGCGGCAGGCCUAACACAUGCAAGUCGAGGGGCAGCACGUCUUCGGAUGGUGGCGACCGGCGCACGGGUGCGUAACGCGUAUGCAACCUACCUCUUACAGUGGGAUAGCCCAGAGAAAUUUGGAUUAAUACCGCAUAGUAUACAGAUUCAGCAUUGGGACUGUAUUAAACAUUUAUGGGUAAGAGAUGGGCAUGCGUUCUAUUAGUUAGUUGGAGUGGUAACGGCACCCCAAGACAGCGAUAGAUAGGGCCCGUCGAGAGGGGGAGUCCCCCACCACUGGUACGUGAGACACGGACCAGACUCCUACGGGAGGCAGCAGUGAGGAAUAUUGGACAAUGGGCGAGAGCCUGAUCCAGCCAUGCCGCGUGCA